rnacentral:rRNA from 1 species
GACGAACGCUGGCGGCGUGCCUAACACAUGCAAGUCGAACGGAAAGGCCCUGCUUUUGUGGGGUGCUCGAGUGGCGAACGGGUGAGUAACACGUGAGUAACCUGCCCUUGACUUUGGGAUAACUUCAGGAAACUGGGGCUAAUACCGGAUAGGAGCUCCUGCUGCAUGGUGGGGGUUGGAAAGUUUCGGCGGUUGGGGAUGGACUCGCGGCUUAUCAGCUUGUUGGUGGGGUAGUGGCUUACCAAGGGUUUGACGGGUAGCCGGCCUGGGAGGGUGACCGGCCACAUUGGGCCUGAGGUACGGCCCAGACUCCUACGGGAGGCAGCGGUGGGGAAUAUUGCACAAUGGGCGGAAGCCUGAUGCAGCAACGCCGCGUGCGGGAUGACGGCCUUCGGGUUGUAAACCGCUUUCGCCUGUGACGAAGCGUGAGUGACGGUAAUGGGUAAAGAAGCACCGGCUAACUACGUG